rnacentral:rRNA from 1 species
UGCGUAGGCGGAAUGAUAAGUUAGUGGUGAAAGCCUCCGGCUCAACCGGAGAACUGCCAUUAAUACUGUCAUUCUUGAGUAUAGUUGAAGUGGGCGGAAUGUAUCAUGUAGCGGUGAAAUGCUUAGAUAUGAUACAGAACACCGAUAGCGUAGGCAGCUUGCUAAACUAUAACUGACGCUCAGGCACGAAAGCGUGGGGAGCAAACAGGAUUAGAUACCCUGGUAGUCC